AUACAGAGGGUGCGAGCGUUAAUCGGAAUUACUGGGCGUAAAGCGCGCGUAGGCGGCUUAUUAAGUCAGAUGUGAAAUCCCCGGGCUCAACCUGAGAACUGCAUCUGAUACUGGUAAGCUAGAGUUUUGGAGAGGGAAGUAGAAUUUCAGGUGUAGCGGUGAAAUGCAUAGAGAUCUGAAGGAAUACCAGUGGCGAAGGCGACUUCCUGGCCAAAAACUGACGCUGAGGUGCGAAAGCGUGGGUAGCAAACGGGAUUAGAUACCCUAGUAGUCC
rnacentral:rRNA from 1 species